ensembl:lncRNA
CAAAUUUGUUGCUGCAUAUGGCAAGAUUUCAUCGUUUUUAUGGCUGAGUAGUAUUCCAUUGUGUGUAUGCAUAUGAGUAUGCCACAUCUUCUUUAUCCAUUAUCCAUUAUCCAUCAGUGGGCUCUUAACUUGUUUCCAAGUCUAGGCUAUUGUAGAUAAUGCUGCUAUGAGCAUAGGGGUGCAUGGAUCUCUUUGAAUUAGUGUUUUCGUGUUCUUUGGAUAAAUACUCAGAAAUGGAAUGGCUAGAUCAUAUGGUAGUUCUGUUUUUACUUUUUUGAGGAAUCUCCAUACUGUUUUCCAUAGUUGCUGCACAGUUUACAUUCCCACCAACGGUGCACGAGGGUUCUCUUUCCUCUACAUCCUCUCCAACACUUGUUAUUUCUUAUCUUUUUAAUAACAGCCAUUCUGAUGGCCAUGACGUGAUAUCUCACUGUGGUUUUUUUUUCACAGAUUGGCACCUGAGCUAACAACUUGCCAAUCUCUUUUUUUUUUUUUCUCCCCAAAUCCCCCCCAGUAGAUAGUUGUAUACUUUUAGUUGUGGGUCCUUCUAGUUGUGGCAUGUGGGAUGCCACCUUAACACGGCCUGAUGAGCGGUGCCAUGUCCGCGCCCAGGAUCCAAACUGGCGAAACCCUGAGCUGCAGAAGCAGAGCGUGUGAACUUAACCACUAGGCCAUGGGACUGGCCCCUCAUUGUGGUUUUGAUUUGCAUUUCCCUAAUAAUUAAUGAUGUCAACCAUCUUUUCAUGUGCCUAUUGGCCAUCUGUCUAUCUUCUUUAGAAAAAUGUCUGCUCAUAUCCUCUGCCCAUUUUUUAAUCGGGUUGUUUUGUUGUUGUUGUUGAGUUGUAUGAGUUCUUCAUAUCUUUUGGAUAUUAACUCCUUAUCAGAUAUAUGAUUUGCAAAUAUCUUCCCCAAACUGAUAGGUUGCCUUUUUACUUUGUUGAUGGUUUUCUUUGCCAUGCAGAAGCUUUUUAGUUUGAUAUAGUCCCAUUUGUUUAUUUUUUCUUUUGUUUCCCUUGCCUAAGGAGACAUAUUCACAAAGAUUCCGAUAAAACUGAUGUCAAAGAGCACACUGCCUAUGUUUUCUUCUAGGAAUUUAAUGGUUUCAGGUCUUACAUUCAAGUCUUUAAUCCAUUUUGAGUUAAUUCUCGUGUACGGUGUAAGAUAAUGGUCUACUUUCAAAAUAUGCUACAAAGCUAUAGCAAUCAAAAUAGCAUGGUACUGGCAGAAAAACAGGCACAGAUCACUGGAAUAGAAUUGAGGCCCAGAAAUAAAACCACACAUCUAUGAACAGCUAAAUUUUGACAAAAACACACAAUGGAGAAAGGAAAGUCUCUUCAAUGAAUGGUGUUAGGAAAACUCAACUGCCAUGUGCAAAAGAAUGAAAGUAGAGCAGAGCCUGGUCUUAACUCAGCCUCUGGACUCUCCCGGUCCCCUCCCCCAACUCACUCCUGGCUGCCUGCUGGUGACCUUGAUCAUCGGGAGGAGCCUGGAGAGAACAAGAUCCUGACAGAAAGGCGGACGCCCUCACGUCCAGCUGCUGGCAUCCCCUGCCAUCGUCCAGCAGCAGCCCUGGCUGGGUGGUGUGCUCACUCACAGACCAUCAGCUGUGCUCCAGGCACAGGGGUCAGGGCACCUCGACCCGCUCGGGGUUCUCACUCACACGUGUUCUCACUUACCUUGGUCCUGGCGGAGCAGUGGAGUGUGGUUCUACCACACUGUCACUUCAGCCCGACUCCUUCUCCAUAAAGUCAGCCUCAGGGCUGGCCAGGGAGUGGCUCUGUGGGCCGCCUGCACCCUUCCCAAGCUGUACCCUUGAAACGUAAGGACGGCUUGGCCAGACGUGACUGGACCCAGCAGCCUCGUCCUUGGUGUCUGGAAAGACCCCAGAAAGUCUUUGCUCAAAAUAAUCUUCCCCACAGCACUGCCGGAGACUCUUCCCUCAUCCUCAUUUUUCUUCAGAGAAUGACAGGGAGGGCUCCGGUGAAAAUGCUGCGUAACCCAGGGUGCUCACUAACUGGCAGCCCCUCUCCGCCAAGAGGAACAGCUUAUCCGAAGGUCAAGAGGAGCCUGGAAGUAAGGAGUCAGGCCUGGGACAGGAAUUGCUGAAAGAAGAUGGAGGGAGAUGAAGGAUGCUCAGCUGCUUCCUGUUUAACUACCCGCGGGUCCUAGUGAAGGAGCACAGGCUUGCCCAGGAUUAAAGCCACCCAGAGAGGGCGGGGUCAGGGACACAGCCCCCCGUAGACCACUAAUACAACUUCCAGACUUCCCUCGGAUUUGGCCCAACCAUCCGGAGAUCUCUUUGCUUAUGGUGACCGUAUUUACAAACCAAAAAAGAGAUAUCAUGAUCUUCAAGUAGCAGCAUCCUCAAGGGGUAAUAGGUUGGAAUAGUUGCAGUCAGGACUGUCCUCAAAAUGCUGUGUGCGAAGGUCAUCAGACGUUGAUAAUCUUGGCCACACGCAUCUUUUAACUGUCUACUUGGUGCUGUGGUCUUUGGGCCGUACACUCGUGAGGGUGUUUCCCGUUCUUGUUUCCCAUUCAGUCCUUGGCCCCAUCAUAACAGAGGUAUAGCACUUGCCCUGCGUUACACAGCUAAUGAAGUUGAGCUGUCAGGAGUCACAUGGAAUAAACUGGAUUCCAGAACCCACAGUAUUAGAAUGCAGGCCGACACCUUCUAUCGAUCAAACCCCAACAAUCCUGUUCUAUUUGGUCAUCUGUUUUUCAGUUGACCACAUUGUUCAGAGUUAUUUUCUAAGUAUCAAAGAUUUACCUUUGAAUACCCUACGCCUUCCCUAUUACAGUGACAUGUCGACAUGACUUAGUCAAAUGUGGCUCAAAUUAUACAACGUUAAUCGCAUUUUAUAUGUGUGUGAAAAUUUAUAUUUUAUGUGUUUAAUAUAAGGGCCAAAUUCAACCAGGUGCAAACAUACCAGCUUCAAGAGAGCUUGCCUUGGGGACUGGCCCUUUGGACGAGUGGUUAAGUUCGCGCACUCCGCUGCAGGCGGCCCAGUGUUUCGUUGGUUCAAAUCCUGGGCGUGGACAUGGCACUGCUCAUCAAACCACGCUGAGGCAGCAUCCCACAUGCCACAACUAGAAGGACCCACAACGAAGAAUAUACAACUAUGUACCGGGGGGCUUUGGGGAGAAAAAG